AACGAACGCUGGCGGCAGGCUUAACACAUGCAAGUCGAACGCCCCGCAAGGGGAGUGGCAGACGGGUGAGUAACGCGUGGGAAUCUACCCAGUUCUACGGAACAACAGUUGGAAACGACUGCUAAUACCGUAUACGCCCUAAGGGGGAAAGAUUUAUCGGAAUUGGAUGAGCCCGCGUUGGAUUAGCUAGUUGGUGGGGUAAUGGCCUACCAAGGCGACGAUCCAUAGCUGGUCUGAGAGGAUGAUCAGCCACACUGGGACUGAGACACGGCCCAGACUCCUACGGGAGGCAGCAGUGGGGAAUAUUGGACAAUGGGCGCAAGCCUGAUCCAGCCAUGCCGCGUGAGUGAUGAAGGCCUUAGGGUUGUAAAGCUCUUUCAGUAGGGAAGAUAAUGACGGUACCUACAGAAGAAGCCCCGGCUAACUUCGUGCCAGCCGCCGCUGUAAAAC
rnacentral:rRNA from 1 species